rnacentral:rRNA from 1 species
UAAGGAAUAUUGGUCAAUGGACGCAAGUCUGAACCAGCCAUGCCGCGUGAAGGAUUAAGGUCCUCUGGAUUGUAAACUUCUUUUAUCUGGGACGAAAAAGGCGAUUCUUCGUCACUUGACGGUACCAGAUGAAUAAGCACCGGCUAACUCCGUGCCAGCAGCCGCGGUAAUACGGAGGGUGCAAGCGUUAUCCGGAUUCACUGGGUUUAAAGGGUGCGUAGGCGGGCAGGUAAGUCAGUGGUGAAAUCCUAGAGCUUAACUCUAGAACUGCCAUUGAUACUAUCUGUCUUGAAUAUUGUGGAGGUAAGCGGAAUAUGUCAUGUAGCGGUGAAAUGCUUAGAUAUGACAUAGAACACCUAUUGCGAAGGCAGCUUACUACGCAUAUAUUGACGCUGAGGCACGAAAGCGUGGGGAUCAAACAGGAUUAGAUACCCUGGUAGU